UCAAAUUGAAGUUAUGAUAUGUUUCUACUUGUAUGUUUUGUUGUUAGUUAUGUUUUUGUAGUUUGAGAAUGGAUAAGGGAGAAAAGUAUAUUUUCACAUUCACUUCUCACAUGAUACAUACUCAUUAACAUGUAUUAUGGUCCAAUCUUUUAAAUUAGACUAGCAAGGAAAUCAAGACAUAAAUACAUUUAUAGUUUAUGCUUUGUAAUGUUUGAAAUAUGAGUUUACUCACAAAUCAUCAGUGCGAGAUUGUAGAUCUCUGAAAGUUAGGGUACAUACGAAUAGAAGAACCAUAAAUGGGUGUUUCAUCACUAUCCCAUCAAGAGAGACAUAGUUUGUGCUAUAGGGUGGGUCAUGAGUGAAGGCUCUAAGACAUGACGUCACCCCAAUGUAAUAGGGAAAGAGCUUCAUUGUGAGAAUAAAGAAACAGUCAUCGUCGUUGUUGCCCGUACAAAAUGAGGCGCCUUUUUUAAAGAACAAUGAAGGUUCCAAAGCGAACAAUAUCUCCUAGUCACAGUGACACAAACUUGAGGCCGACCAGAACAUUGGUGCUAGAAGGACGAACAUCAAGACCAGACGCAUUCCAAGAAGGCUUGUGAAGAGUCCCGCAUAGUUAGCUUCAACAGUUAAGAAAAACGAAACCUGAUAGUGCAAUAAGGAUAAUUCACGUACCAAGGACAAGACGAAUGUUUUGAGGCCGAUAUUAGACAUCAAUCCAACAUUACUCGAGUUAGAAAGUAACCCCCAAUCACGAUCACGGGAAAACGAUGAAGCGCACACUUAUCGUUCUUCUAGGCAUUUGUUCCCUGACCAACCUCCGCAUAUCAACAAUCUCGCGUUGAUGAGUGACGAGAUUGAAAGAUUUCCG
rnacentral:lncRNA from 1 species